UUUAUUGGGGGGGGGGAAUCCAAAAAAUUUGGGGUCGGAAUCGCAAAAUUUGGGGUCGGGGUACAAAAAAUGGGGCUGGGGUCCCGAAAUUUGGGGUCGGAAUCACAAAAUUUAGGGCUAGGACCCCGAAAUUUGGGGUCAAGGUCCCAAAAUUUGGGUCCAGAACCUCAAAAUUUGGGGUCGGAAUCACAAAAUUUGGGGCUGGGGUCCCAAAAUUUGGGGUCGGGGUCCCAGAAAUGGGGCUGG
rnacentral:lncRNA from 1 species